CAACUUUCAACAACGGAUCUCUUGGCUCUCGCAUCGAUGAAGAACGCAGCGAAAUGCGAUACGUAAUGUGAAUUGCAGAAUUCAGUGAAUCAUCGAAUCUUUGAACGCACCUUGCGCCCCUUGGUAUUCCGAGGGGCACACCUGUUUGAGUGUCG
rnacentral:rRNA from 1 species